rnacentral:sRNA from 1 species
UCCCGCGUCACGUGGCCAGGAAUGAGCUUAAAACAGCGACAAAAAUGGGAUGCUCUGAGUGGCCACAGAUAUCCGUCGUCAGUGAACUUAAACUGCAGGAUAGAAAAUAGUUCCCGUUCAACAUGCAUUUGAGAUCCUUUACUAGAUUUCUGGAAUCUCAGUCACAUACAUAAGGAGUUUCUCGUCGCGCCUCCCUUAUAUCAAAAAGUCAUUCAUACUACUAAUACUAGUACUUAAUGCACAACAACAGCGCCGAAGACAACGGGAGAACAGGAGCAAACACGACAGUCCUCCCAUUCUCGGAAGUUUCUCGACGGCUAGGAAAGAUCAUCAGGCAGACGACACAACGUGAGAUGCGCUGAUAAACCUGAAUGUGGGUUUGGAGCCAUGUGGGACGACGGAUUGCGUCCUGUAGUUGCGAUUGAAGUGUCUCUGAAGGACGACAAGCUUAGGGUUUCGUCGUGUAUCGGUGCACGUACGGUGAUGAAAAUGCGUGGCAUGUAGCCAUAUGAAGGGCUGCUUUAUGAUGGGAGGUGGCGAAGAAUUUGGGACCGCCAUGAACUGGUCGUAAAUGGAACACAAGGCUCAACUAGAGGGUUCCUCGUCGCGCAUUGUUCGUGACCAGUUCAACCGUUUUGUAGCCAAUGAAAUGGACAUAUUACCCAAGAUACCCGACUGUGAACGU